AUUGAACGCUGGCGGCAGGCCUAACACAUGCAAGUCGAGCAGAUGAAGGGAGCUUGCUCCUGGAUUCAGCGGCGGACGGGUGAGUAAUGCCUAGGAAUCUGCCUGGUAGUGGGGGAUAACGUCCGGAAACGGGCGCUAAUACCGCAUACGUCCUGAGGGAGAAAGUGGGGGAUCUUCGGACCUCACGCUAUCAGAUGAGCCUAGGUCGGAUCAGCUAGUUGGUGGGGUAAAGGCCUACCAAGGCGACGAUCCGUAACUGGUCUGAGAGGAUGAUCAGUCACACUGGAACUGAGACACGGUCCAGACUCCUACGGGAGGCAGCAGUGGGGAAUAUUGGACAAUGGGCGAAAGCCUGAUCCAGCCAUGCCGCGUGUGUGAAGAAGGUCUUCGGAUUGUAAAGCACUUUAAGUUGGGAGGAAGGGCAGUAAGUUAAUACCUUGCUGUUUUGACGUUACCAACAGAAUAAGCACCGGCUAACUUCGUG
rnacentral:rRNA from 1 species